GCUGAACUUAAUGCUUCCAUCAAAAAUUUAAUUUCUAAAAUCAAAGUCAGGUGGCAAUCUGGCCGAAACAAUUCAGGAGAACUAAACAUAAAAGAUGCAAUACAGGCUGCGCUUCAAUCAUCCAUGAUGGAUGUAUUACUACCUGAUCCAUUGACCUUUGGGUUUAGGUGUGGCAAUAAUACUUCACAAAAUUCUUCUGACCUUAAUAUGGAUGAAGGAUCUAAUAUUCAGGGUGCGCGUAAAGGUUCAGUAAAAGCUCAUGACACGACACCAGUAGAAGUGCUGGUUCGCAAUAAUACCAAGGAAAUGAUUAGAGUCAGUCUUAGCAUCACAUGCAGAGAUAUAGCUGGGGAGAACUGUGUCGAGGGUGAUAAAGCGACAGUGCUAUGGGCAGGUGUUCUGAAUGGUAUCACCAUGGAGGUACCUCCAUUGAAGGAAUAUAGACAUUCGUUCUCCUUGUAUUUCCUGGUUCCAGGUGAGUACACACUUUUAGCUGCUGCUGUGAUUGAUGAUGCUAAUGAAAUGCUCCGAGCCAGAGCAAGAGCUAAUUCAUGUGAUGAGUCCAUAUUUUGUCGUGGGCCACCGUUCCAUAUCCGAGUGAAUGGGACUAUGUGAUAUCCUUAUUGAAGUGUCCAUAGUUUACUAAACCAGGUGAAACUUUCCAGCCUCAACUAUUUGUAGAACUUGUUAUUUGCACUUCGUAUUUCUUGUAAUUCCUCCUUAUAUAGAGGUCCAUUUUGUUUAGGAGAAAACUGUAUCACUCAGUUUCCAAUUGAUAUACAAUAGGAUUCUACAGUGAUUUGUAAAGCUAUAUUAUUCAAUGAAGAGCUG
rnacentral:misc_RNA from 1 species